ensembl:lncRNA
GUUCCCAUGUCCUUAGCAGAGAUGUUUUUGUAGAAGCACUGUUAUUUGCUUUUUCUGGGUAUCUAUUUAGAGGUGGGUUUCCUCCCCAGGUGGCCCUCUGAAUGGAGGUGGAAAAGGAGAUGAGUGAGAAGGGAAUUUAUAAGUACUGUCCAGGUGCAGCAAGUCGGGUACAUGGCCCCUUGCUUCACCUGCAUUUUUAGAACCAGAGAGGACAGUGCUUGCUUCCUCUCAGCCCAGAAGAUGGACUCGGAUCCUCUGCAUCGGUCAGCUAAGACAACUUCUGUGAGAAUAUGUUUUCUAAUGUGGGACUUUUCUUGGAGGAAAACCUCUGAAGCGGAAAACCCAUAAUCUGCUUAGGAUGGUUCUGCAUAGUUAUUAAUAACAGGACGAGGAGGCUCUGAUGUUCAAACUCGUCCCUGAAACGCAGCAAGACCUCUCAGCUUCAAAUCCCCAGCCCGACUUCAUGAAUUUUAUUUAUGCAUUCAUUUAUUUGUGUGAUGUCUGGUGCCGAGCCGCGGAUGAAAAAUUAAAACGUAAAUUCAUCAGCAGGACCCAGAGCAGAGCUGGAUUAAAAUUUGAACUCCUGAACUUCGAGGCCCCUCCUGCCACAGAGAAAACAAGAGCAUCAGCUGAGCUCCACAAACAAAGGAAGAGCUUCUCUCUCCUCCCACAACAACAGGCGAAAAGGCAGACCUGAGAACACUCAGGCUCCAAAUGUCACUCACAACAUCCCAAACCAAAACAAAAGCAAUGCGCCAAACAGCCACACAAACAGAGGCGGGCGGGACAGGCUUCUAGUAAGCCCUGGUCAGUUGCCAAAAUUGGCUUCUGGCUGCUGGCCCUGCGGGAAUUACGUAAUUCCCAGAUAAGGGCCCUCAACUUCAAAUUUCAUCCUCUCAUCUUAGACUUUUACUCUGAAGAGCUGGCAGCAAAAAUAGGUGAGAAUCUCACUUCCACUGAUGCAGUGAGGCUGCUGAUUUCUAUUAGGCAAUUUUGUUGUUCAAGUCAUUGGGAUGGUGUUGGAAGGAAAUGCCAUGUUUGUGAGAUAAUAGAAUAACCCCACCCCCACCCCUGCCAAAGUAACCGCAUUGCCCUCCAUCUUAUACUCUUGGGUCACCCACGACCUGAUUCUCUGAGAUCAGUAAAUGCGAGUGUCCGCAGUGCAGAACCUUGCAUAUUUCACCCUUCCACAGUGGGAUGGCAGGCUGUGGCCGAAGAACAGAGCUGAUGUGCUGGGGUCUUGCUAAAGAGAAACAGGAGGCAUAGGAGAGAGUUGAGGCUGGUGGCUGCUAUCAGAAGACAUAUUAGUGAAAUGACCCCCUGAGAACCAGGUACCUUUCAGAUGUCCUCUCAUUUCCUACUCACAACAGCCUUAUGAUUCUCUUUUCAUAGGGGAGGAAAUUGAGUCAAGGAUAAAGCAGCCUGCCUGUAAUCACACAGCUGGUUAGUGUGGCUGAGGCCUGAAAGACUUCAAAGCUUAUUCCAUACCCCAGGCCAAAAAAGCUCUGCUACAUCAAGUUCAAGGGAUUUAGGUAAAGCGUCCAGUGGCUUCAUUAGUUCCAUAGGACCCUGUCUGAUUGAGCUGCUAAAGGUCUUUAUUGCUAGCGUCAAGGCUGCCUCUGUGUUUUCUUAUGGCUCCUAGCCAUGUGUGGCCAUUUACAUUUAGAUUAGUUAUGAUAAAAUCAAACCAUUUAGUUCCUCUAUCACACUAGCCACAUGUCAGGGAUCAGUAACCACAUGUGGCUAGCGGCAGUCUUUCUGGAUGGCACAGGCUUCUAGCAUGUUUUCAACUUCACUGAAAGAAAGUGUUAUUGGCUAACGGUGGAGAUGGAACAUUCUAGUUGUUAAUUUGACCUCUUCCUUGUAGCCUGCACUUAGUUCUUCUGGGCUUGAAAUCCAGACCUAUCACAACAGACAUUCUAGUCCUACUCUGGGUUUCCACUGGGAUAGGUUUCCUCUAAGCAGAUUUCUGACCUCUGUC